GGCCAAGUCAUGUUGAAACAUUAGUUCCUGUACAUUCACUGAAGUUAAACAAUGGUGAGCUUGGUCAGUACCUAGAUGGGUGACCACUUGGGAGUACCAGGUGUUGUAUG